rnacentral:tRNA from 1 species
GCCAGUGUAGCUCAGUGGUAGAGCACUCGAUUCGUAAUCGAGCGGUCAGGGGUUCAAAUCCCCUCACUGGCU